rnacentral:rRNA from 1 species
UACGGGGGGGGGCAAGCGUUGUUCGGAAUUACUGGGCGUAAAGGGCUCGUAGGUGGCCAACUAAGUCACACGUGAAAUCCCUCGGCUUAACCGGGGAACUGCGUGUGAUACUGGAUGGCUUGAGUUUGGGAGAGGGAUGCGGAAUUCCAGGUGUAGCGGUGAAAUGCGUAGAUAUCUGGAGGAACACCGGUGGCGAAGGCGGCGUCCUGGACCAACACUGACACUGAGGAGCGAAAGCCAGGGGAGCAAACGGG